CCGUGGCCAUCUUGGCUCAGG
rnacentral:sRNA from 1 species